GAUGAAGAACGCAGCGAAAUGCGAUAAGUAAUGUGAAUUGCAGAAUUCAGUGAAUCAUCGAAUCUUUGAACGCACAUUGCGCCCCUUGGUAUUCCGAGGGGCAUGCCUGUUCGAGCGUCAUUAUAACCCAUCAAGCUCAGCUUGGUGUUGGGGCCUGCUGCACUGGCAGCCCUUAAAAUCAGUGGCGGCGCCAUCUGGCUCUAAGCGUAGUAAUUCUUCUCGCUAUGGAGUCCUGGUGGAUGCUUGCCAUCAACCCCCAAUUUUUCUAUGGUUGACCUCGGAUCAGGUAGGGAUACCCGCUGAACUUAAGCAUAUCAAUAAGCGGAGGA
rnacentral:misc_RNA from 1 species